UACGAAGGUGGCUAGCGUUGUUCGGAUUUACUGGGCGUAAAGGGAGCGUAGGCGGUUUACUAAGUCAGAUGUGAAAGCCCAGGGCUUAACCCUGGAAUAGCAUUUGAAACUGAUAGACUUGAGUAUGGGAGAGGAUAGUGGAAUUCCUAGUGUAGAGGUGAAAUUCGUAGAUAUUAGGAAGAACACCGAUGGCGAAGGCAGCUAUCUGGACCAUUACUGACGCUGAAGCUCGAAAGCGUGGGGAUCAAACAGG
rnacentral:rRNA from 1 species